CCAGCCGGGCUUCCCAGCCUACGGAGUGGCCGUCAUGGCCAUCGGUGGCCUCUGCAUCAUCGCUGCGCCCGUCGUGCUCAUGUGCCUGGGGACCAAGAGGCUGGGCUGGCAGGAUGGAAGAGCCCUUUGGCACAGGAGAGACCCUGAAGUGGGGAUCCAGACGUUGGACAUGGAUAACCAGGGCUUCUGGACAGAGGACCCUGAGGAUGGUCACUUUGAGUGGCAGAGCACUUCUGCCUGAGGAGAGAAGCAGCAGCAGCUGGGGGUGCUGGGAGAGGGGCU